AUGCACACAGAUGUCUGCCUAAACAAAUGCUUUCACAUAACUGACAGUUCUGUACUUCCAAGCAAAUUUUGUCCCUUGUUUUCAGGAAGACCACACAACCCUGGAGGAUUCUGUCAGAAGGCUCUGCAGGGCUGUACUGUGAAUCAAAGACAGUCUUGCUCUGUGCCUGACAGAGUGCCUGGCUCUGCCAUCAUGGAUGGGGUCUCUGUGGUGAGCCUGGACUGUCCAAACACAUCUCAGCUCAGUGCUCCUCUUGUGUGGCUCUAGAAUCCCUGUCCACACACACCUGCAGGCUUCUCCAAAGCUUCAGACCCUGCACUCUCCUUUGCUUUGCAUUGGCUCCACUGUGGGAGCUCAAGGAUGUGUCAUGACAUCAGAACAAAACAAGGUAGCCAGCAAAAGCCAGCCAUAGGGAAGAGAGCAGCCAAGAAGAAGAGUGAGCCGACGGAUGACUCCUGGACACACUGGUAAGCGUGGCAUCUGGAAAAGUUUCUUUGAUGACUUGUACAAAAGAAAAUGUUACAAGAGGUACUGAUAGGAAAGUGCGAGCGAUUCACUGAAGAUGAAGCAACUCUCAGAUCAUAACUGUGUCUGUUCUCUUCUGAGCUACCGUAACCUUCACUUACACAAAGUUCCAUGCCCCCUGUUCUCUCCCUAGCGCUCAGGGAUGUG
rnacentral:lncRNA from 1 species